rnacentral:tRNA from 2 species
GGGUGUGUAGCUCAAUGGUAGAGCAGCGGUCUCCAAAACCAAAGACGAGGGUUCGAUUCCUUACUCACCCG